rnacentral:sRNA from 1 species
CACCGCAGCCUCCCUUAUUUUGUUUACCACCAAUCAGUUCCAUAUGUUUUCAGAAUAAGGUUGGGAAUGGAAAUAAGGUUUGGAAUGGAAGAAAGAAGGAAAAUAAAGAAGCGUGGAGGAGAAGAUCUUAAACUUCCUCUAAUACCUUGAUCCGCCAUUCGCCCCUUGCUGCAAAGCAGUUUUUCACCAUGUGUCUCCCAGACGGCAAUAAAAAAAAACAAGAACUCUGCAAAAUAUAGCGCCUAUCGAUUCCGGAGAUCUAAAGCUGGCUAUCUUGGAUAUCUUAUCCAAAAUAUCGCCGUGCGUGGUGAAGCGCAUGCCUGAGAAUUAUUGCUUGACCUGAGCGAUGGAUGGUCGCAAAUGUUCCCGGGUCCAAAAUUCUCUAUUGAGUUCCCAAAAGAUGAAAUGACCGAAAGCGAAAAGAAAUGUACAGGCUGCCGAUUCGAUAUUAAAAUUAUGGUUACAGUCAAGGAGCAGUUGAGGGCCUUGAGCCCUGAAAAGGGCCUCAUCGGGUGCCGGAAUUACGAACUCGCGAUGAUAAAAUUGCGGCAGUUCAAAUCAGAGCUCAUGGAUGCACUUGUGAAGAAUGAUAAAGAUAAGG